rnacentral:rRNA from 1 species
GUGGGGAAUAUUGGACAAUGGGCGCAAGCCUGAUCCAGCCAUGCCGCGUGGGUGAAGAAGGUCUUCGGAUCGUAAAGCCCUUUCGACAGGGACGAUGAUGACGGUACCUGUAGAAGAAGCCCCGGCUAACUUCGUGCCAGCAGCCGCGGUAAUACGAAGGGGGCUAGCGUUACUCGGAAUUACUGGGCGUAAAGGGCGCGUAGGCGGCUCUGUUAGUCAGGCGUGAAAUUCCUGGGCUUAACCUGGGGACUGCGCUUGAUACUGCAGGGCUUGAGGCCGAGAGAGGGUGGUGGAAUUCCCAGUGUAGAGGUGAAAUUCGUAGAUAUUGGGAAGAACACCGGUGGCGAAGGCGACCACCUGGCUCGGUUCUGACGCUGAGGCGCGACAGCGUGGGGAGCAAACAGGAUUAGAAACCCUUGUAGUCC